CCUACGGGAGGCAGCAGUGAGGAAUAUUGGUCAAUGGGCGAGAGCCUGAACCAGCCAAGUCGCGUGAGGGAAGACGGUCCUAUGGAUUGUAAACCUCUUUAGGCGGGGAGCAAUGCCGGGCACGCGUGCCCGGAGGAAGAGUACCCGCAGAAUAAGCAUCGGCUAACUCCGUUCCAGCAGCCGCGGUAAUACGGAGGAUGCGAGCGUUAUCCGGAUUUUUUGGGUUUAAAGGGUGCGUAGGCGGAUUUUUAAGUCAGCGGUAAACUGUCAGGGCUCAACCCGGGCCGGCCGUUGAAACUGGCGAUCUUGAGUGGGCGAGAAGUAUGCGGAAUGCGCGGUGUAGCGGUGAAAUGCAUAGAUAUCACGCAGAACUCCGAUUGCGAAGGCAGCAUACCGGCGCCCGACUGACGCUGAGGCACGAAAGCGUGGGGAUCGAACAGGAUUAGAUACCCCAGUAGUC
rnacentral:rRNA from 1 species